rnacentral:rRNA from 1 species
AUACGUAGGGGGCUAGCGUUAUCCGGAAUUACUGGGCGUAAAGGGUGCGUAGGUGGUUUCUUAAGUCAGAGGUGAAAGGCUACGGCUCAACCGUAGUAAGCCUUUGAAACUGGGAAACUUGAGUGCAGGAGAGGAAAGUGGAAGUCCUAGUGUAGCGGUGAAAUGCGUAGAUAUUAGGAGGAACACCAGUAGCGAAGGCGCUUCUCUGGACUGUAACUGACGCUGAGGCUCGAAAGCGUGGGGAGC